rnacentral:rRNA from 1 species
UGGGUAGGGGAGCGUUCUGUAAGCCUGUGAAGGUGUACUGUGAGGUAUGCUGGAGGUAUCAGAAGUGCGAAUGCUGACAUAAGUAACGAUAAAGCGGGUGAAAAGCCCGCUCGCCGGAAGACCAAGGGUUCCUGUCCAACGUUAAUCGGGGCAGGGUGAGUCGACCCCUAAGGCGAGGCCGAAAGGCGUAGUCGAUGGGAAACAGGUUAAUAUUCCUGUACUUGGUGUUACUGCGAAGGGGGGACGGAGAAGGCUAUGUUGGCCGGGCGACGGUUGUCCCGGUUUAAGCGUGUAGGCUGGUUUUCCAGGCAAAUCCGGAAAAUCAAGGCUGAGGCGUGAUGACGAGGCACUACGGUGCUGAAGCAACAAAUGCCCUGCUUCCAGGAAAAGCCUCUAAGCAUCAGGUAACAUCAAAUCGUACCCCAAACCGACACAGGUGGUCAGGUAGAGAAUACCAAGGCGCUUGAGAGAACUCGGGUGAAGGAACUAGGCAAAAUGGUGCCGUAACUUCGGGAGAAGGCACGCUGAUAUGUAGGUGAAGCGACUUGCUCGUGGA